GUUAUCUGCUUAUCUAACCAUGUUUUUGUAUUGAGCUUGCAUGUUCAUUCUUGUAGUUUAGGAUGCUUGCAUUUUAGUUUUUCACUUGAAAUAUUGAGUAUUGUGGAACUGAAAUAUUCUACUACUCAUCAUGGAUUGGUGCAUGCAAUAUAUGUAUAUGGAUAGAUUUUGUUCUAGAAUACGUGCUAAGUGGAACUUGUAAUUGUAG
rnacentral:misc_RNA from 1 species